rnacentral:rRNA from 1 species
GAAUUUUGGACAAUGGGCGAAACCCUGAUCAUGCAAUGCCGCGUGCAGGAUGAAGGCCUUCGGGCUGUAAACUGCUUUGCUACGGAACGAAAAGCUUUGGGUUAAUACCCUGGGAUCCUGACGGUACCGUACGAAUAAGCACAGGUUAACUCCGUGCCAGCACCCGCGGUAAUACGUAGGGUGCAAGCGUUAACCGGAAUUACUGGGCAUAAAGCGUGCGCAGGCGUUUGUGUAAGACAGAGGUGAAAUCCCCGGGAUCAACCUGGGAACUGCCUUUGUGACUGCAAGGCUAGAGUACGGCAGAGGGUGGUGGAAUUCCGCGUGUAGCAGUGAAAUGCGUAGAUAUGCGGAGGAACACCGAUGGCGAAGGCAACCCCCUGGGCCUGUACUGACGCUCAUGCACGAAAGCGUGGGGAGCAAACA